UGUAAAAAAAACAAACCCGAUUGUUUCUCUCUCUCUCGCGAAGCCGAUCGACGCGACGCGGUUAUGGUGUGUGGCGAAGAACAACGCGGUUGAUUCGUCGCUACAGACGGCGAUUGAGUGGGCUUGUGGACAAGGCGGCGCUGAUUGUGGUCCGAUUCAGCAAGGUGAACCUUGUAACGACCCGACGGAUGUUUAGAAAAUGGCGUCGUUUGUUUUCAACAAUUAUUCUGUGAAGAACGGCGAAGAGGACGAGGCUUGCAAUUUCAACAAUAACGCUGCUCUUACUUCACUCAAUCCCAAUUCAGAUUUGAUACAUUUGUGCAUCUUUUUGAAGUAAUCUUCCACCAUUGUGUGUGUUUUCAGGUCAGGGAACUUGCAAAUAUCCUUCGAGGUAAUCAAUUUCAAACUAUCUUUGAUCAAUUUAGAUUUAUGAAAGAUGGUUUGGUGAUUUUGAGUUCUUCAAUAUCAGUUUCCUUAAUAAGAGCUAAUCUUGUUUUGGUAAGAAUGUAAUUGGUUCUUAGAUUAUUCAAUACGUGAAUGGGAUUGUCUUUUUGUCUGGCAUUUUGAUUUUUUAUAUUCUAUGGAAUUUGUAGUGAUCUUUCUUUCUGUCAAUGAACUUAUAUGGUUUUGGACAACGAAGCUGUUUAGGAUAUCUGUUUCUGCACCCUCAAGCUAGCCACUCUAACUUAUAAGUCAACUGUUUCAUCUAGUUUCGCUUAGAAGAAUGAAGGAGGAUGAAGGUUUUUUUUGCAGUCAUUAGCAACCAUAUCCUGUUCUUUACGAGAAGCCUGGGGAUUUUGUUGCCCAGAUUAAGUUCACAGUUUUGCUGAUGCCAAAUGGAUCGGAUAGGAUCACUUCACAUACACUUCAGGAGCUUGAUACUAAGACCAGUGAAGACCCUGAGAUCAUAGGGUGGUUAGCCUUGGGUAUCAAGAAGAAGAAAGCCAAGAAAGCAGGAGAGAAAAGAGAGGUUUCAACAGAGGCUGAGCCAAUGGACGCAAGUAGUGAUGCUCAAGAAUGAGUAGGAAGAUUUGUCUUUGUUUCUUUUAAAGAAUUUUUGAAACUUGAGGUACCUCUUUCUUUGUAUGUUUGGGUUUCAAGAGUCUCAUCUUAAACAAAAUAAAAAAAACAACAAAAAAGUGUUUAUCACCUUUGUGCAUUUUUUUGCACAAAACACUUUU